UAAACGACUCUCGGCAACGGAUAUCUCGGCUCUCGCAUCGAUGAAGAACGUAGCGAAAUGCGAUACUUGGUGUGAAUUGCAGAAUCCCGUGAACCAUCGAGUCUUUGAACGCAAGUUGCGCCCGAAGCCUUCUGGCCGAGGGCACGNNUGCCUGGGCGUCACGCA
rnacentral:rRNA from 1 species